UACAGAGGGUGCGAGCGUUAAUCGGAAUUAUUGGGCGUAAAGGGCGUGUAGGUGGUUAUGCAAGUUUGAUGUGAAAGCCCCGGGCUUAACCUGGGAACUGCGUUGAAAACUGCAAGACUAGAGUUGGACAGAGGGUGGUGGAAUUUCCGGUGUAGCGGUGAAAUGCGUAGAGAUCGGAAAGAACAUCCGUGGCGAAGGCGGCCACCUGGGUCCAAACUGACACUGAGGCGCGAAAGCGUGGGGAGCAAACAGG
rnacentral:rRNA from 1 species